AACAUCUUCUUCAUCUACUCCUCCUCCUUCAUCUGGAACCACUCCUACUCCACCUACCAGCGGAGGAACACCAUCCCCUUCUUCUCCAACUCAGCAUGGCGCAACUCCUCCAUCACCGGGUUCAGCCACUGCUAUCGUUGCUACUUUCCCUGCUCUCAUUGCUAUUGUCAUAAACUUGUUGCUUUAGACACACCAGUUUUUUUUGGAAUGGUUAUUUACACUGUUUCAAUUUUUGGAUUUGAUGUUCUAUAAUUAGGGUUUAGGAUAUAUUUAAUUUGUAUUAUCAAUAAGAUUUAAUUGAUAUAUACAGACAAUGUAAAAG
rnacentral:lncRNA from 1 species